GAUGAACGCUGGCGGCGUGCCUAAUACAUGCAGGUCGAGCGAACGGACGAGAAGCUUGCUUCUCUGAUGUUAGCGGCGGACGGGUGAGUAACACGUGGAUAACCUACCUAUAAGACUGGGAUAACUUCGGGAAACCGGAGCUAAUACCGGAUAAUAUUUUGAACCGCAUGGUUCAAAAGUGAAAGACGGUCUUGCUGUCACUUAUAGAUGGAUCCGCGCUGCAUUAGCUAGUUGGUAAGGUAACGGCUUACCAAGGCAACGAUGCAUAGCCGACCUGAGAGGGUGAUCGGCCACACUGGAACUGAGACACGGUCCAGACUCCUACGGGAGGCAGCAGUAGGGAAUCUUCCGCAAUGGGCGAAAGCCUGACGGAGCAACGCCGCGUGAGUGAUGAAGGUCUUCGGAUCGUAAAACUCUGUUAUUAGGGAAGAACAUAUGUGUAAGUAACUGCGCACAUCUUGACGGUACCUAAUCAGAAAGCCACGGCUAACUACGUG
rnacentral:rRNA from 1 species